rnacentral:rRNA from 1 species
ACGGGUGAGUAACGCGUGGAUAAUCUACCUCGUUCUGGGGGAUAACCCAUCGAAAGGUGGGCUAAUACCGCAUAAUCCGGCUGAAUCCUGGUUUGGUCGGCAAAGGUGGCCUCUUCAUGAAAGCUACCGGGAAGAGAUGAGUCCGCGUCCCAUUAGCUUGUUGGUAGGGUAACGGCCUACCAAGGCGACGAUGGGUAGCUGGUCUGAGAGGACGAUCAGCCACACUGGAACUGGUACACGGUCCAGACUCCUACGGGAGGCAGCAGUGAGGAAUAUUGCGCAAUGGGGGAAACCCUGACGCAGCGAUGCCGCGUGGGUGAAGAAGGCCUUCGGGUCGUAAAGCCCUGUCAAGUGGGAAGAAUAGCGGCGGGACGAAUAAUCCCGUCGUAUGACGGUACCACUGAAGGAAGCACCGGCUAACUCCGUGCCAGCAGCCGCGGUAAGACGGAGGGUGCAAGCGUUAUUCGGAUUUAUUGGGCGUAAAGAGCGUGUAGGCGGCCGGUCAAGCCAGAUGUGAAAGCCCAGGGCUUAACCCUGGAAGUGCAUUUGGAACUGGUUGGCUUGAGUUCGGGAGAGGGAAGUGGA